UACGUAGGGUGCAAGCGUUGUCCGGAAUUAUUGGGCGUAAAGAGCUCGUAGGCGGUUUGUCGCGUCGGCUGUGAAAACCUGGGGCUCAACCCCGGGCCUGCAGCCGAUACGGGCAAACUAGAAUUCGGUAGGGGAGACUGGAAUUCCUGGUGUAGCGGUGAAAUGCGCAGAUAUCAGGAGGAACACCGAUUGCGAAGGCAGCUCGCUGGGACGUUACUGACGCUGAGACGCGAAAGCGUGGGGAGCAAACAGG
rnacentral:rRNA from 1 species